rnacentral:rRNA from 1 species
AGAGUUUGAUCAUGGCUCAGAACGAACGCUGGCGGCAGGCUUAACACAUGCAAGUCGAGCGAGACCUUCGGGUCUAGCGGCGGACGGGUUAGUAACGCGUGGGAACGUGCCCUUUACUACGGAAUAGCCCAGGGAAACUUGGAGUAAUACCGUAUACGCCCUUCGGGGGAAAGAUUUAUCGGUAAAGGAUCGGCCCGCGUCUGAUUAGGUAGUUGGUGGGGUAAUGGCCUACCAAGCCGACGAUCAGUAGCUGGUUUGAGAGGAUGAUCAGCAACACUGGGACUGAGACACGGCCCAGACUCCUACGGGAGGCAGCAGUGGGGAAUCUUAGACAAUGGGGGAAACCCUGAUCUAGCCAUGCCGCGUGAGUGAUGAAGGCCUUAGGGUUGUAAAGCUCUUUCACCAGGGAAGAUAAUGACGGUACCUGGAGAAGAAACCCCGGCUAACUCCGUGCCAGCAGCCGCGGUAAUACGGAGGGGGUUAGCGUUGUUCGGAAUUACUGGGCGUAAAGCGCACGUAGGCGGACUAGAAAGUCAGAGGUGAAAUCCCAGGGCUCAACCCUGGAACUGCCUUUGAAACUCCUAGUCUUGAGUUCGAGAGAGGUAAGUGGAAUUCCGAGUGUAGAGGUGAAAUUCGUAGAUAUUCGGAGGAACACCAGUGGCGAAGGC